rnacentral:ribozyme from 1 species
GCAUGCGCACUAAGAUUGUUGGCAAUAACGCAGGAACGAGACGUGGAGACGGAUUUGGUCAGCCACAAUGCCGCGAUCAGCGCUUUUGAGAGGGGGGAAGAGUGGAAGCGGGCCUUGAGACGGUUGGAAGAGAUGCAUGAGCAAGGCAUAGAGCCUGACGAGAUUAGCUAC